rnacentral:rRNA from 1 species
GUCAAUGGUCAUGCUGCCCUGAACAUGCCUGAUCUUGUCUGAGCCUGGAAGCAAGACAGGGUUGGGCCUGAUUAGUAUCUGUAUGGGAAAGAUACCGGACAUGCCGAUAAAGUGGGGCUCCAGAUU